UACAGAGGUCUCAAGCGUUGUUCGGAUUCAUUGGGCGUAAAGGGCGCGUAGGCGGCGGGGUAAGUCGGAUGUGAAAGCUCGGAGCUCAACUCCGAAAUGGCAUUGGAAACUACCUUGCUCGAGGGUUGGAGGGGGGACUGGAAUGCUUGGUGUAGCAGUGAAAUGCGUAGAGAUCAGCAGGAACACCCGUGGCGAAGGCGGCCCCCUGGGCCGUACCUGACGCUGAGGCGCGAAGGCUAGGGGAGCGAACGGG
rnacentral:rRNA from 1 species